rnacentral:rRNA from 1 species
AUACGUAGGUGGCAAGCGUUAUCCGGAUUUAUUGGGCGUAAAGCGAGCGCAGGCGGUCUUUUAAGUCUAAUGUGAAAGCCUUCGGCUCAACCGAAGAAGUGCAUUGGAAACUGGGAGACUUGAGUGCAGAAGAGGACAGUGGAACUCCAUGUGUAGCGGUGAAAUGCGUAGAUAUAUGGAAGAACACCAGUGGCGAAGGCGGCUGUCUGGUCUGUAACUGACGCUGAGGCUCGAAAGCAUGGGUAGC